rnacentral:rRNA from 1 species
ACGCUGGCGGCGUGCCUAAUACAUGCAAGUCGAGCGGACAGAUGGGAGCUUGCUCCCUGAUGUUAGCGGCGGACGGGUGAGUAACACGUGGGUAACCUGCCUGUAAGACUGGGAUAACUCCGGGAAACCGGGGCUAAUACCGGAUGGUUGUUUGAACCGCAUGGUUCAAACAUAAAAGGUGGCUUCGGCUACCACUUACAGAUGGACCCGCGGCGCAUUAGCUAGUUGGUGAGGUAAUGGCUCACCAAGGCAACGAUGCGUAGCCGACCUGAGAGGGUGAUCGGCCACACUGGGACUGAGACACGGCCCAGACUCCUACGGGAGGCAGCAGUAGGGAAUCUUCCGCAAUGGACGAAAGUCUGACGGAGCAACGCCGCGUGAGUGAUGAAGGUUUUCGGAUCGUAAAGCUCUGUUGUUAGGGAAGAACAAGUACCGUUCGAAUAGGGCGGUACCUUGACGGUACCUAACCAGAAAGCCACGGCUAACUACGUGCCAGCAGCCGCGGUAAUACGUAGGUGGCAAGCGUUGUCCGGAAUUAUUGGGCGUAAAGGGCUCGCAGGCGGUUUCUUAAGUCUGAUGUGAAAGCCCCCGGCUCAACC